rnacentral:lncRNA from 1 species
CACGAGAAGAGACUCUCGCAAGAAAGUAAAUGAGUCAGGCUGGAAACAGCGAAGUAUAUCUCGCGAUAGCACUGUUUAAAAUGGCGGCUUCAAGGCGUUUCACGGGUGUCCCGGACAGGCGUGGAGGUGGGGCGCAGGCGAGGAUGAAGCUUGAGUUGGCCAGGAGUCGGAAAACGAUUGCAGGCGGGACCGCGUCCGUCGGGGCUGAGGAAACUUAGCGUGGCAGACCCUAAACUGGGAUAACUUUAGGGAUAUGGCCUUCUUUUCCCAGUUGCCUCAAACUUAGAGCAGCGUCGUCUUUAGCCGAAGAUUCAUUUUCCCAGCAUUUUCCUUCUCCAGGCGGAGUAGUUGGAGACAGAGGGCAAGCCAGAAACUGACCUUCCCAUCUCCUCAUUCCCUUCCAUCAAGAACUUUUCAUCGUUCUUUCCCCACCCUGGUUUGUAAAUGGUAUUUGGCUUCAUAAAAACGUUUGUCCACAGGUGCCCUGCUCCAUCAGUUCGCUCCAGCAAUAUAGGAAGUUACCAAAAAAAAAAUUUUUUUUUAUUGACCUUGGAUGCAGAAAGGAACCGCGUUGGUGUGUGAUUUGAAUUUUGGACUUCUUGUUUCCUGCCUUGUGGCCACGUCCCCCUUACUUGGUGACUCUCAGCACUUAGUUGUGGGGCUUUUUCUCUCUGCUCUCAGACAACUAUAAAAGCAGACUAAUUGAACAGCAUCUAGAACAGAAGGUGGAUGUAAAGAACAUUGGUCGGCCGGGCGCUGUGGCUCACGCCUGUAAUCCCAGCACUUGAGAGGCCGAGGCGGGCAGAUCACGAGGUCAGGAGAUCGAGACCAUCCUGACCAACAUUGUGAAACCCCGUCUCUACUAAAAAUACAAAAAUUAGCUGGGCGUGGUGGCGUGUGCCUGUAAUCCCAGCUACUCGGGAGGCUGAGGCAGGAGAAUUGCUUGAACCAGGGAGUUGGAGGCUGCAGUGAGCCAAGAUCACACCACUGCACUCCAGCCUGGCGACAGAGCGAGACUUCGUCUCAAAAAAGAAAAAAAAAAAAUGAGCCGGGCAUAGUGGCACGCGUCUGUAGUCCCAGCAACUCGGGAGGAUAAAGUGGGAGAAUCCCUUGAGCUGGGAGGUGGAGGUUGCAGUGAGCUAUGAUCACACCACUGCACUCCAUCAAACAGAGCCAGACUCUGCCUCAAGAAAGAGUGUGAGAGAGAUCAAAAUAUCAUUUCAACAUAUAACCAAUGUUAUUAACAAGAUAACUUACAUUCUUUCUUUCGUACUAAGUUUUCAAAAUUUGGUGUUUAUACUUGGAGCACAUCUCAUUAAGGACUGGGAGCAUUUAAAGAGCUCAAGAGCCACAUGCAACUAGUGACGAGAGUAUCGGACAGCGCAGUCCUAGACUCUAGAGUAAUGAAUGAGCUCUCUAGAUGUCCGGGGGGUGGUAUCAUGGGUGUGUGGUGUAUGUAAAAGAAACUCUUGAAAUUGCUAACUCAAAUGGCUGCAGAGGCUAGGCAAGUAACAAUAAAAGAUGACCUGACAUAGGGACUAGGACCCACUGGAGACUACAAACUCCUAUCUAAAAGAGCCACUUUUCCUGAGUUUUAAAACACAGUGAUGCCAAACAAGAUGUCUGUGAGUAGGACACACAGCUAACUCUGCGGCCAAUAUACUGCCUCAGUGAACCGUGGUAUUCAAAUGUAUGAAACACAAGGAUUUUUUGUUGUUUUUUAUUUUUUUUGAGACAGGGUCUCUCUAGUCAUCCAUGAUCUCGGCUCACUACAACUUCCACCUCUCCCACUCAAGCGAUCCUCCCACCUCACCUCCCAAGUAGCAGGGACUGCAGACACCUACCACUACACCUGGCUAAUUCUUGUAGAAAGGGUAUUUUAACAGAAGAAUAGUAACUAGGCAAAGGGAUGGCAAACCUUGAAAACCUGACCACAUUUCUUUCUGGGUCCUGUACAAGUGUGUGCACUUUAAGCCAUCAUUGCAAUUUAGGAUUAUAAUUUGACUUCUAAGUAGAGUUUCCUACUGAGGAGAUAAUUUUACAGCCAACCUGGGCUCCCUAUAAAUUAAUAAGCUGAUAUCAUGAUUUUUAUUAUAGUUAAAAUUUUAGACAUUCUGAGCUUGAAAAAAUUAUUUCCAGGUUUUCAAAGCUGUUCACUAGCAGACUCCAGACAUUUUUUUCUCCAAAUUUAAGAGAAGGCAUAUACAUAUAUAUAUAUAUAUAUAUACACACACACACACACAUAUAUAUAUACACACAUAUAUAUAUUUUUUUGUUUUGUUUUGUUUUUUUUCUGUUUUUUGUUUUUUGUUUUUUUGAGACAAGGUCUCACUCACACCCAGGCUGGAGUUCGGUGGCAUGAUCUCGGCUCAAUACAACCUCCACCUCUCAGUUUCAAGUGAUUCUUUUGCCUCAGCCUCCAAAGUAGCUGGGAUUACAGUCACGUGCCACUGUGCCCGACUAAUUUUUUUGCAUUUUUAGUAGAGACACGGUUUCGACAUGUUGGCCAGGCUGGUCUCGAAUUUCUGGCUUCAAGUGACCCGCCCACGUUGGCCUUCCAAAGUGCUGGGAUUAGGAGUGUGAGCCAGCACACCUGGCCUACAAGAAGGCAUUUAAUUAUUUUAUGGUUGACUGUGAAAGCUCUUUGUCACAGGAAAGUUAUUUGUCUUUGUACUGCUUUUGCCUGAUACAGUACCUGGUAUACAGAAGGCACAUAAUAAACAUUUGUUAAAGGAAUAUAGUCCUUAAAACUUUUGAGGGGCUCACAGACUUAAAACCCGAGAAUCUGAUGAAGGCUAAGGCUUAUUCAGAUCUUAACUGUGCCCUAUCCAUAUUCCCUCAAACUACCCCAGAGUUCACCUCAACUUUGGUAGACAGAUCUUGUACAGGCCCAGAACUUCUUACCUCAAACACCUGAGUAACUCUAUCUGGAAGUGCUAGCAGAGUUAACAUUAUGAGAGACAAUCUACAAUCAAUGAGAGAUGGGAUUUGGUAGCUAAAUAUUCCAGUUCCUCAUCCCCUUAGUGGAGCCAUUCUGAAGCAUAUUCUACUGUAAUGUUUCUCAAAAUUUUCUAGCAUAUGAUAAUCACCUGGAGAGAUGAAUAUGACACAGAUUCCAGCCAGGCUCAGUGGCUUACACCUGUAAUCGCAGCACUUUGGAAGGUUGAGGCGGAAGGAUCACUUGAGCCCAGGAGUUCGAGACCAGCCUGGGCAAUAUGGUGAGACUUUGUGAGCAUGGUGGCACACAUCUGUGGUCCCAGCUACCUCAGAGGCUGAGGUGGGAGGAUCACUUGAGCUUGGGAGGUUGAGGCUACAGUGAGCCAAGAUUGCGUCACUGUGCAUCAGCCUGAGUGACAGAGGAAGAGUCUGUCUCCAAAAAAAAAAAGAAAAACGAUAGAGAUUCUUGGGCCCAAGAGUUUGCAUUCUAACCAAGCUCCUAGGAAUACUGAUGCUGCUGCCAAUCCAUGGACCACAUGGUGAUGGGUGCCUGCAAUCCCAGCUACUCGGGAGGCUGGAGCAGGAGAAUCGCUUGAACCCAGGAGGCAGAGACUGCAGUAAGCCGAGACGCGCCACUGCACUCCAGCCUGGGUGACAGAGCGAGACUCCAUUUAAAAAAAAAAAAAAAAGGAAAAGGUACAAAGUUUUGUAUACACGUUUAAAGGAGGUAGGCCAGGCACGGUGGCUCCGCCUGUAAUCCUAGCACUUUGAGAGGCCGAGGCAGGCAGAUUGCUUGAGCUCAGGAGUUCAGGACCAGCCUGGGCAACAUGGCAAAACCCCAUCUCUACAAAAAAAUACAGAAAAUUAGCCAGGCGUGGUGGCGAGCUCCUGUAGUGCCACCUACUUGGGGGUCUGAAGUGGGAGGAUCACUUGCACCUGAGAGGUGGAGACCGCAGUGAGCUAAGAUUGCACCACUUCACUGCACUCCAGUCUGGGCGACAGAGUGAGACCCUAUCUCAAAAAAAAAAAAAAAUGCUUAGAGGGGGUAUGAAUUCUCUGGAAUUUGCUCAUUAGAUUAUAAGUGAAGAUGACCAGGGUAAAUGCCAUUUGACCCAAGGUGCACUAAAAUAUGAUCCAUCUAAUGCAGAUUCUGGCAAACUUAAUCUAACCAUUAGCAGCUCAUGGAGUUGACUGAAUUCAGCCAGCUCUCCUUAGAAGUUAUUUUCUCAGAUCUUAUUGCCAUCUUUUCAUUCUUUCUGAUCUGCAUUAGUCUUACUUUGUGGAACAUGGCAGUAGGCCUGGGACUCUUAGAGAGUCCCCAUCCUUGUAAUGAGCAAAAAGAAUAUUGUUGCGCAUUCCUAUCGGGCUCUUAAGAUUUCUUCCCAACCAUACUGCUUUCUAGGUACCACUGUAGUGCCCUUGUAACCCUUAGAUCUUUUCUUGCUGUGUUCAACACAGAGCCUGGCAUACUAUAACUGUAGCUGGUUUCUCCCAUUUCCUUCUGGAUUCCACAUGGCCCCCUAUUCUAUUUCAUCCUUUUGGGAAUGUGUAAUCUUUGACACUUAUAUUCCUAAACCCACUUUGGUAUAAUCUGGAAACUUUAUGGCAUGCUCUAGUCUGUGACAAUCAGGAUAACCCUGAUUAUACCAGCUUCUAAUCAACUACAUAAAGCGGGUGAACACCAGGGUCACCAACACCCAUUUCCCAACUGCGGUGCACAGCAGCUUUUUAGCUUUGCCAACAUUUGGGCCGGCACAUGUGUUUGUGCGUGAUUAUUUGUCUCAUGUACUAUUGAAUAAACGUCUUUGUAAGUAAC